rnacentral:rRNA from 1 species
CCUACGGGAGGCAGCAGUCGAGAAUCAUUCACAAUGGGGGAAACCCUGAUGGUGCGACGCCGCGUGGGGGAAUGAAGGUCUUCGGAUUGUAAACCCCUGUCAUGUGGGAGCAAAUUAAAAAGAUAGUACCCCAAGAGGAAGAGACGGCUAACUCUGUGCCAGCAGCCGCGGUAAUACAGAGGUCUCAAGCGUUGUUCGGAAUCACUGGGCGUAAAGCGUGCGUAGGCUGUUUCGUAGGUCGUGUGUGAAAGGCGCGGGCUCAACCCGCGGAGGGCACAUGAUAUUGCGAGACUAGAGUAAUGGAGGGGGAACCGGAAUUCUCGGUGUAGCAGUGAAAUGCGUAGAUAUCGAGAGGAACACUCGUGGCGAAGGCGGGUUCCUGGACAUUAACUGACGCUGAGGCACGAAGGCCAGGGGAGCGAAAGGGAUUAGAUACCCCAGUAGUC